GAUGAACGCUGGCGGCGUGCCUAAUACAUGCAAGUCGAGCGAACGGACGGGAAGCUUGCUUCUCUGAUGUUAGCGGCGGACGGGUGAGUAACACGUGGAUAACCUACCUAUAAGACUGGGAUAACUUCGGGAAACCGGAGCUAAUACCGGAUAAUAUUUUGAACCGCAUGGUUCAAAAGUGAAAGACGGUCUUGCUGUCACUUAUAGAUGGAUCCGCGCUGCAUUAGCUAGUUGGUAAGGUAACGGCGUACCAAGGCAACGAUGCAUAGCCGACCUGAGAGGGUGAUCGGCCACACUGGAACUGAGACACGGUCCAGACUCCUACGGGAGGCAGCAGUAGGGAAUCUUCCGCAAUGGGCGAAAGCCUGACGGAGCAACGCCGCGUGAGUGAUGAAGGUCUUCGGAUCGUAAAACUCUGUUAUUAGGGAAGAACAUAUGUGUAAGUAACUGUGCACAUCUUGACGGUACCUAAUCAGAAAGCCACGGCUAACUACGUG
rnacentral:rRNA from 1 species